UACAGGGGGUGCAAACGUUGCUCGGAAUUAUUGGGCGUAAAGCGCACGUAGGCGGUUCGUUAUGUCGGAUGUGAAAGCCCUUGGCUCAACUGAGGAAGUGCAUCCGAAACUGGCGAGCUAGAGUAUGUAAGGAGGGUCGCGGAAUUCCGGUGUAGGAGGUGAAAUUCGUAGAUAGUCGGGAGGAACACCGGUGGCGAAGGCGGCGACCUGGGACAAUACUGACGCUGAGGUGCGAAAGCGUGGGGAGCAAACAGG
rnacentral:rRNA from 1 species